rnacentral:lncRNA from 1 species
ACCAAUAUAACUUGGUAAACAUUGACCAUGCUUUGAUAGAAACGUAAUAUAAGUCUAGCCGAAAGAGUUGGCUUUGACUUCAUCAUAUACUUCAUGUGUAAGAAUACAUGAAUUACAAAGCUUGUCCAGAUUGAACUGAAACAAGGGUUAGAAUACUUGCCUUCAGCGUCUGCUACAGUUAUAACACGUUCACGUUAAGUCUUUAAGUCUCUACAGUAAAUGAAAACAUCACAUAACACAUUAGGUCAUGAAUGAACAUACACGGGUCCUAAUGAAUCUUACCCUUCCUCUCAAUCUAAACAUGACUUAGAUUUGUUAUUAUUGGUUCCGACUUUUCGUUACGUCGUUCUUACAUUCACAUACAAUUGACUCACUUUAACCUUAAUUGAUCAUACUUAAGGUUCAACAAUGUCUUAAUACUGUUUCAUUAUUCUUAUUAAGUUUGUAUUACUUCAUUGUCUUUCCUUUU